UACGAAGGGUGCAAACGUUGCUCGGAAUCAUUGGGCGUAAAGCGCACGUAGGCGGCCUUGUAAGUCGGACGUGAAAUCCCACGGCUCAACCGUGGAAGUGCAUCCGAAACUGCGAGGCUCGAGUAUGGAAGAGGGUCGCAGAAUUCCCGGUGUAGAGGUGAAAUUCGUAGAUAUCGGGGAGGAAUACCAGUGGCGAAGGCGGCGACCUGGGCCAAUACUGACGCUGAGGUGCGAAAGCGUGGGGAGCAAACAGG
rnacentral:rRNA from 1 species